rnacentral:rRNA from 1 species
UGGGGAAUCUUGGGCAAUGGGGGAAACCCUGACCCAGCGACGCCGCGUGCGGGAUGAAGGCCUUCGGGUUGUAAACCGCUUUCAGCAGGGACGAAGCGAAAGUGACGGUACCUGCAGAAGAAGCCCCGGCUAACUACGUGCCAGCAGCCGCGGUAAGACGUAGGGGGCGAGCGUUGUCCGGAUUUAUUGGGCGUAAAGCGCGCGCAGGCGGCCCGGUCAGUCGGAUGUGAAAACACGAGGCUCAACCUCGUGCCUGCAUUCGAUACUGCCGGGCUCGAGGCAGGUAGGGGAGAUCGGAAUUCCCGGUGUAGCGGUGAAAUGCGCAGAUAUCGGGAGGAACACCGGUGGCGAAGGCGGAUCUCUGGGCCUGUCCUGACGCUCAGGCGCGAAAGCUGGGGGAGCAAACAG